UGCCUCCUUGAUAUCCUUAAUUGAAGGC
rnacentral:piRNA from 1 species